ACGUCUGUAGCUCAAUUGGCAGAGCGGCCGCUUCAUAACCGGCUGGUUGGGGGUUCGAAUCCCUCCGGGCAUA
rnacentral:tRNA from 1 species